UACUCUUAUUAUGAGUGGUAGAGGGACUGGCCCGUUGAAACCCAGCAACCUUUCAAUUCGUUGAAAAGGUGCUAAAUCCUGCGAAGUGUGAUGCUUCGAGAGAUAAGAGAGACUUAAAAA
rnacentral:ncRNA from 1 species